rnacentral:rRNA from 1 species
UACAGAGGUCUCAAGCGUUGUUCGGAUUCAUUGGGCGUAAAGGGUGCGUAGGCGGCUUGUCACGUCGGGUGUGAAAGCCCGGGGCUUAACCCCGGGUCUGCAUUCGAUACGGGCUGGCUAGAGUGUGGUAGGGGAGAUCGGAAUUCCUGGUGUAGCGGUGAAAUGCGUAGAUAUCUGGAGGAAUACCGGUGGCGAAGGCGGCAUCCUGGACCGGCAUUGACGCUGAUGAGCGAAAGCUAGGGGAGCAAACGGG